rnacentral:tRNA from 1 species
GCCCUGGUGGUUUAGUGGUUAAGAUUCGGUGCUGUCAUCGCCAUGGUCCAGGUUCAUUUCCUGGUUGGGGAA